UUCCGGUUGAUCCUGCCGGACCUGACUGCUAUCGGAUUAAUACUAAGCCAUGCGAGUUUUUGUAGUAAUACAAGGCAUACGGCUCAGUAACACGUAGUCAACCUACCCUAUGGACGAGGAUAAUCUCGGGAAACUGAGCAUAAUACUCGAUAGAUCAUAAUGCCUGGAAUGGUUUAUGGUUGAAAUGAUUCGUUCGCCAUAGGAUGGGACUGCGGCCUAUCAGCUUGUUGGUGAGGUAAUGGCCCACCAAGGCGAUUACAGGUACGGGCUCUGAGAGGAGAAGCCCGGAGAUGGGUACUGAGACACGGACCCAGGCCCUAUGGGGCGCAGCAGGCGAGAAAACUUUGCAAUGUGCGAAAGCACGACAAGGUUAGUCCGAGUGAUUUCUGCUAAAGAGAUCUUUUGCAAGUCGUAAAACCCUAGUGAAUAAGGGGUGGGCAAGUUCUGGUGUCAGCCGCCGCGGUAAACCAGCACCUCGAGUGGUCAGGAGGAUUAUUGGGCCUAAAGCAUCCGUAGCCGGCUUUGUUAGUUUUCGGUUAAAUCCAUGCGCUCAACGUAUGGGCUGCCGAAAAUACUGCACAGCUAGGGAGUGGGAGAGGUAGACGGUACUCAGUAGGAAGGGGUAAAAUCCUUUGAUCUAUUGAUGACCACCUGUGGCGAAGGCGGUCUACCAGAACACGUUCGACGGUGAGGGAUGAAAGCUGGGGGAGCAAACCGGAUUAGAUACCCGGGUAGUCCCAGCUGUAAACGAUGCAGACUCGAUGAUGCAUUGGCAUAUAGCCAAUACAGUGUCGCAGGGAAGCCGUUAAGUCUGCCGCCUGGGAAGUACGUACGCAAGUAUGAAACUUAAAGGAAUUGGCGGGGGAGCACCACAAGGGGUGAAGCCUGCGGUUCAAUUGGAGUCAACGCCGGG
rnacentral:rRNA from 1 species